UGCACGUCUACACGGUUCAACAUUCUAGCCAUACCUCUUCAUCUUGGAAUCCUGGUUCUUCCAGCACAACUUGAUCCUCCUUCAUAUUGAAAGAUCUCAGAAAUCUACAGGGCAUGACUGGAGACUGAAGUGCAGCCCAAGCAAUCCGUUUUCUUGGUCUAUUGCAUUUUCUGGCUUCACAUCGGAGUCACGCGUGGGGUCCAGCAGAAGGGGAACAAACCACGAAGGGAGAGAGAGGUAUGACGGCUGUCACCUAAUACCUCUAAACAGCAAAAUAGCUGAGGUAAAGAGGAGACCACGCAAAAGGAAUCUUCUGGAACACUGUCCCCGGAUAGGCCCUUUCAGGACGGAGAGGAAUUUUGCUGCGACUUAACUCGCAACGUGAAAUAGACAACGGCGGCCAAACAUAUUUCGGUCCAGCUUCUAAACAGACCUUUUAGGGCCGCCUCCUUGCCAGCCCAGCGUCUCUGGCAGCGUCGUCUUCCUUCCCUGAGACGGUGACUGACUGUUGACAAGAGUCAGGAAGCAUCUGCUGAGGUGGAGGCUACGAUGCACAUCUGUGCGGACAGUUCUUGGAGUUCAAGCCCCAGGACAGGGCGACGCUUUUCCUUCGGCGUCUGAAUCAUUUUGCAGGAAUAAAGAGCAAAAAAAAAAAAAAAAAAAAAAGAAGUUCCCACAAUAGCAGUUGGCAUUUUAUAGGACAUUUCCUGCCCCCCCCCCCCAGUGGAUUGUUUAAAGGGCCAAC